AUAUUAACAGCUCAAGUAUAGUAUCUAUUCUUAUCAGUUUAAUAUCUGAUAUGUCCUCCAUCUAUACAUUAAAUAGAUUUUUGGAGCAGGGAGUUGGAAUAGGAGCUUGCUCCAUGCACUCCACACAUCGACCUGGUACUGCAGUACCUCCAGGAAUGGGGCACCCCUU
ensembl:snRNA U2 U2 spliceosomal RNA